UACAGAGGGUGCAAGCGUUGCUCGGAAUACUGGGCGUAAAGCGUGCGCAGGCGGUUAUGUAAGACAGAUGUGAAAUCCCCGGGCUCAACCCUGGGAACUGCAUUUGUGACUGCAUAGCUAGAGUACGGUAGAGGGGGAUGGAAUUCCGCGUGUAGCAGUGAAAUGCGUAGAUAUGCGGAGGAACACCGAUGGCGAAGGCAACUCCCCCUGGACCUGUACUGACGCUCAUGCACGAAAGCGUGGGGAGCAAACGAGG
rnacentral:rRNA from 1 species